rnacentral:lncRNA from 1 species
GAGGGUUUAGGAAUUAUCUUGCAUAAGAUUCAGAAUACUGUCACAAUUAUUAAUGAGAAGGAAGUUGUUGUCAUCCAGUCAAAAGAUGAAGUUCUUUGUCUCUCCUAUUACUCAUGCUACAGUGCAACCUAAGGUUGCAUUUGAUCCUUCCGAAUCUGUUAAAGUUUUGAAGCAUUUAGCCAAGUCAGAUUCUGUAGUAAUAUAUAUAUUAUUGAAGAAUCUAGGGAGAAUGACAUCGCCAAACGGAUCAGGGAAUGAAUGCCUUAAGGAGAAUAUUGAUACAAAAUUCGUUGAAGAUGACAUGUUUAUUGGACAAUUAUUCCUGGAAUGAGAUGGCUCUCUGAGUCCCAGACUCAAGAGUAAAUAGAUGCAGUAGUUCAAGUACCUCCAACGGUGAUUUAGGCUCUUCAUCAAGUGAUUUGGACCCAGGCACUUCUUCAGAUAGUGAAUCAGAAUGUGUUUCUACAAUUCUGGUAAUGACCCUGCUGGAGAUAUAUAGUUACUGUGAUCUUAUAAUGAGGACUCUCUAUUCCGUAUAAGGAGAAGGUCUUGAUCCG